rnacentral:rRNA from 1 species
AUGUAUAGCAAUAGCUACUUGCAUCAUUGUAAAUAUGAUGCAAGAUCGACUAUGUCGAAUAAAAUUCUAGGUAGAAUUAUGAUAAUGACAUUGUCUGCCUAUGUGUCUUGACCAAAUUACGUGCCAGCAGUCGCGGUAAUACGUAGAAGACUAGUGUUAUUCAUGUUUAAUCGGUUUAAAGGGUACCUAGACGGUAAAUCAAGCCUAAAAGGAGAUAAAUGAAGGGACUAAUUUACUAGAGUUACUUAUGAGGGGGUAUUAAAGUACUGCUGGUGUAGAGAUGAAAUUCUGUCAUACCUCUUUUCAAUAGAAAAAUAAUGGCACAGGUAUAGGCGAAAGCAUCCCCUUAUGUGAUAACUGACGUUGAGGGACGAAGGCUUUGUGUAGCGAACAGGAUUAGAUACC